rnacentral:rRNA from 1 species
UACGUAGGGGGCUAGCGUUGUCCGGAAUCAUUGGGCGUAAAGCGCGUGUAGGCGGCCCGGUAAGUCCGCUGUGAAAGUCGGGGGCUCAACCCUCGAAUGCCGGUGGAUACUGUCGGGCUAGAGUACGGAAGAGGCGAGUGGAAUUCCUGGUGUAGCGGUGAAAUGCGCAGAUAUCAGGAGGAACACCAAUGGCGAAGGCAGCUCGCUGGGACGGUACUGACGCUGAGGCGCGAAAGCGUGGGGAGCAAACAGG